rnacentral:tRNA from 1 species
GUUCCUGUAGUAGAAUUACAACGGUGAUUUUUCAAGUCAUUAGUCUUGGUUAAAGCCCAGGCAGGAAAU